UCAAAGAUAAGCAUGCAUGUCUAAGUAUAAGCAAUUAUACCGUGAAACUGCGAAUGGCUCAUUAAAUCAGUUAUCGUUUAUUUGAUAGUACCUUACUACUUGGAUAACCGUGGUAAUUCUAGAGCUAAUACAUGCUGAAAACCCCAACUUCGGGAGGGGUGUAUUUAUUAGAUAAAAAACCAACGCCCUUCGGGGCUUCUUGGUGAUUCAUGAUAACUUUACGGAUCGCAUGGCCUUGCGCCGGCGACGGUUCAUUCAAAUUUCUGCCCUAUCAACUUUCGAUGGUAAGGUAUUGGCUUACCAUGGUUUCAACGGGUAACGGGGAAUUAGGGUUCGAUUCCGGAGAGGGAGCCUGAGAAACGGCUACCACAUCCAAGGAAGGCAGCAGGCGCGCAAAUUACCCAAUCCCGACACGGGGAGGUAGUGACAAUAAAUACUGAUACAGGGCUCUUUUGGGUCUUGUAAUUGGAAUGAGUACAAUUUAAACCUCUUAACGAGGAACAAUUGGAGGGCAAGUCUGGUGCCAGCAGCCGCGGUAAUUCCAGCUCCAAUAGCGUAUAUUAAAGUUGUUGCAGUUAAAAAGCUCGUAGUUGAACCUUGGGUCUGGCUGGCAGGUCCGCCUCACCGCGUGUACUUGUCCGGCCGGGCCUUCCUUCUGGAGAACCUCAUGCCCUUCACUGGGCGUGUUGGGGACCAGGACUUUUACUUUGAAAAAAUUAGAGUGUUCAAAGCAGGCCUUUGCUCGAAUACGUUAGCAUGGAAUAAUAGAAUAGGACGUGCGGUCCUAUUUUGUUGGUUUCUAGGACCGCCGUAAUGAUUAAUAGGGACAGUCGGGGGCAUCAGUAUUCAAUUGUCAGAGGUGAAAUUCUUGGAUUUAUUGAAGACUAACUACUGCGAAAGCAUUUGCCAAGGAUGUUUUCAUUAAUCAGUGAACGAAAGUUAGGGGAUCGAAGACGAUCAGAUACCGUCGUAGUCUUAACCGUAAACUAUGCCGACUAGGGAUCGGGCGAUGUUCUUUUUCUGACUCGCUCGGCACCUUACGAGAAAUCAAAGUUUUUGGUUCUGGGGGNNAGUAUGGUCGCAAGGCUGAAACUAAGAAAAAU
rnacentral:rRNA from 1 species